GAGGGGCUGGGGAGGAGUCACCGAGCUGGCGGGCAGCGCAGCGCUCCCCGGGGCGAGCCCGGCGCGGGAGGGCAGCGCGGCUCCCGGGAGCGGGGGCGCCCGCGGGCCGGGCCCGGAGACAGGCGUGGGGCCAGGCGAGGACAGGGGCCGAGCGGCGGCAGCGGGGAAGCUUUGGCAAUUCACAACCAGUAAAUAGCCGCUCCGAGCAUAGGCCCGCAGCUGCAGAGCCAGCAGCCAUGACCGGUGAGACCACAGCGCUGGGUGCGGGCAGCCCGGGAGAGACCUCUAGGGAAGGGAAGUCCAGAGGAAAAAGGAUGAAAUGCGUUGAAUCUCAAGAUUUCAAGCAACCUGAGUCCUAACAUUUGGGAUUGGGUAUAAAAUUGAACUAAGGAUUAAAGGAUUGAUGCCUAUUUAUCAUUCAGCUAAUUUAGUAUCGGAUUUCAGUGAAACUGAGGCAGACUCACAAGCUGGAUGAGAGAGCCAGACUCAGGCUUUUUAACAGCAGCCCUUGCCAAUCAGAUGAGACAAAAAACCCCACACUGCUCUCCUAUAGCCUUUGGCAUUUCUGAGUUGGUGGCCAAAACUAAUUGAAUUUGUGGAAGGAGAAAAUAAUGAGGAAAAAUGCAGAUUAGGUGCACAACACACACUCUACGAUUCCAAAGGCCCGGAGAUUGGGAUGCCAAGAUUCACCAUGCGAGUAUGUUUUGCCAUUUGAAACACAAACUACAGAAGAAAAGAAAAAGAAGAAAAAGUUCAAGUGGAAAAGGAACAAAAGAAAACACAUGGUCAGCAUUCCUGUUUCCAUCAUGGGGAUCUCUCAGACACUCCAGGCAGUGAGUCUCUGAAGUUAUACUGCAUCCAGAAAUAUGCUGCUCGUCUGUAUGUCCUUUAUUUGCUGAAACAAGUCAGUUAGAAACUGCUUUGAUGAUGUCUUCAUGUGCAAAUUACAUGUCAAAGACAUUGCACUGUGUGGAGAUUCCUGCUCCUAGAUUCACCAUAAAACACUGGCAUGAUCUGAAUGCUUUUUCAUGCUUGUUCAGGUGGAUAAUAAAGAUCCUAUAGCCAACA